GACGAACGCUGGCGGCGUGCUUAACACAUGCAAGUCGAACGGAAAGGCCCUGCUUUUGUGGGGUGCUCGAGUGGCGAACGGGUGAGUAACACGUGAGUAACCUGCCCUUGACUUUGGGAUAACUUCAGGAAACUGGGGCUAAUACCGGAUAGGAGCUCCUGCUGCAUGGUGGGGGUUGGAAAGUUUCGGCGGUUGGGGAUGGACUCGCGGCUUAUCAGCUUGUUGGUGGGGUAGUGGCUUACCAAGGCUUUGACGGGUAGCCGGCCUGAGAGGGUGACCGGCCACAUUGGGACUGAGAUACGGCCCAGACGGCUACGGGAGGCAGCAGGGGGGAGUAUGGCACAAUGGGCGGAAGCCUGAUGCAGCAACGCCGCGUGCGGGAUGACGGCCUUCGGGUUGUAAACCGCUUUCGCCUGUGACGAAGCGUGAGUGACGGUAAUGGGUAAAGAAGCACCGGCUAACUACGUG
rnacentral:rRNA from 1 species